UACGGGGGGGGCAAGCGUUGUUCGGAAUUACUGGGCGUAAAGGGCUCGUAGGCGGCCAACUAAGUCAGACGUGAAAUCCCUCGGCUUAACCGGGGAACUGCGUCUGAUACUGGAUGGCUAGAGGUUGGGAGAGGGAUGCGGAAUUCCAGGUGUAGCGGCGAAAUGCGUAGAUAUCUGGAGGAACACCGGUGGCGAAGGCGGCAUCCUGGACCAAUUCUGACGCUGAGGAGCGAAAGCGUGGGUAGCAAACAGG
rnacentral:rRNA from 1 species